CAAAAGCUUGCAACUCACAGACCUGGACACCCACGAAUCUUAUAUCUGCACCCAGUUCAUGUCUUCAAGAAUAUGAACCCCAAAACAAGACGUCAUCUCCAUUCGAUAAGCAUCAAAUUUCUUUGGCGUGGACAACAGCUUAGACAGAGGUUGAGUUGGAGAUGGAGAUUUACUUCGGUCAGCUUGAUUCGAAGAUGGCCCCGUACUGGCUGGGAUUGUCGUUUGUGCUCCUCUCCCGAACACCUGACAUACUGAGCUGAACUAGACGUUGCUUCUCAAGGUAACAACUCAAGCCAUACGUUAAUCAUCAAGGUACAAGUGCAGGCAGGGACUUCGACAGCAAGUGCAGGCAGGAACUUUGACAGCAAAAGCCAUUUCCUUGCUGGGAUUUGGUGGAGGAAGCUGCUGGUCUGUUCUUUGUGUGGCUUGUUUUGCAAGUGGUGCAAGGCCAUUUGUUUUGCUAUGGUGGAAAGGAAGGCAGGAGGUAGCGGACUUUUGGUGGUGAUUGUUGUUGCUUCUGCAAAAUAGCUCUUGUGGAGGCAAAUGGGCAUUGGCCUUGUAUGAUGACACUGUUUUCUGCUGCAAAGCACUUGUUGGUACUUAACGAGGCUUAAAAAAAUUCCACCGGAUUGGUCAUACACCCAUUGAUACACAUGUAUCGUAAACGGGAUUGCAACCGCUCCGAGGACCUCUAUAGCUCCAUGGUGACACAGGUAAAAGAGACGCUGCAUUUAUUCGCCAGGAGAGCACCAUCCUACGCAGGAUGCACCACGACUGUUGUGGGCAGCAACUUGAUGAUUCUGUCAUCGCUGAGGUGGUAAUUGCUUGGUGAUCGACCAGCAGGAGAUUAUGAGGAUGAGAUUUUGGCCAUGCUUCAUGGAUUGGUGGUCUUUGUGACGACGUUAAUGGUAAGCAUUUGACAACGUCUGCACCAUGAAAGGAAAAGUUGAGUAAUUUCAGGUGAUAAUUAUAAUCAUAUACCUGCAACUUAUGGAGCUUCUUCUACUGAAACGUGGCUCUCCGUCCAUGGCUUCUCUUGGAAGGCUUUUAAGGAUGGAAUGCUGUAGGACUCCGGUCUUGUGUGAACUUUCUCUUUCCUGCUCUCCUCUCUUUUGUGUGCCUCCGUGCUACUGGCUUUUGCUCUUUAAUGUUGUAGGGCUUUCACUUCUUCUUUUCUUUUUGUUCUGCUCUCCAGUCUUUUUUCUUCUACUCUCUAGCCUUUUCUGCUGCCCCCUUCGCUGCCUCUCUGCUGCCCCCCUUCACUUGUUGUAAAGAGCUAUUUAUAUAGGCAACGUAGAAGAAUAAGAGAUCAUGCAGGUUAACCAUAACUUUUUUUUUUUUGAAUUUGAAAUGAUCUUCAGAUGACGAUAACUAUUCCCAUAUUCAAACUUGUAACCGUGGGAACUAUCCACAACUUCCAGUAUGGAAUUUGAAUUUGAAAGCUUGAUACAAAAUGAGCUAUCUGAUUGCUA